CAGCUUUGGUCUUGGGAGCAACAUUUCCAUAACCUUCAGAUGAAAGAAAAAUGAAAAUUGACCAGAGCUUUACAGCUAAACGCAAUUGUGAAAGACAUGGCCUCUCUGGAAUCUUUAAAGGUUGUCAGAAUCCCUGAGGAAGGAUUUAACUACAGACACAGAAAAAAACAUGGGCAAAUCAUAAUCAGCAAAUAAAUGGAGCAGCCCUGCAGAGCAUGAGACACAAAAAGCUAUUUGCCAAUAAUCAAAAUGUCAAAUAAACA